rnacentral:sRNA from 1 species
UAUUCUGCCCUACGGGGAAGGAUGAGAAGCUUCGACUAAGGUUCGACUCGAGCGUCAGCGAGAGAACGUUGCCGCAGGCAACGGCCCGAAGGGCGAG